UACGGGGGGAGCAAGCGUUGUUCGGAUUUACUGGGCGUAAAGGGCGCGUAGGCGGCCACCGCAAGUCAAUUGUGAAAUCUCCGGGCUUAACUCGGAAAGGUCAACUGAUACUGCGGGGCUAGAGUGCGGAAGGGGCAACUGGAAUUCUCGGUGUAGCGGUGAAAUGCGUAGAUAUCGAGAGGAACACCUGCGGCGAAGGCGGGUUGCUGGGCCGACACUGACGCUGAUGCGCGAAAGCGUGGGUAGCAAACAGG
rnacentral:rRNA from 1 species